rnacentral:rRNA from 1 species
AAAGGGGGGCAACCCCCGAGUAGAGUGGCGAACGGGUGAGUAAUACAUCGGAACGUGUCCAGUAGCGGGGGAUAACCUCUCGAAAGAGAGGCUAAUACCGCAUACGACCUACGGGUGAAAGAGGGGGAUCGCAAGACCUCUCACUAUUGGAGCGGCCGAUGUCGGAUUAGCUAGUUGGCGGGGUAAUGGCCCACCAAGGCGACGAUCCGUAGCUGGUCUGAGAGGACGGCCAGCCACACUGGAACUGAGACACGGUCCAGACUCCUACGGGAGGCAGCAGUGGGGAAUUUUGGACAAUGGGCGCAAGCCUGAUCCAGCCAUGCCGCGUGAGUGAAGAAGGCCUUCGGGUUGUAAAGCUCUUUCGGCUGGGACGAAAAGGUCCGUGUUAACACCACGGAUCCAUGACGGUACCAGCAGAAGAAGCACCGGCUAACUACGUGCCAGCAGCCGCGGUAAUACGUAGGGUGCAGGCGUUAAUCGGAAUUACUGGGCGUAAAGCGUGCGCAGGCGGUUUGCUAAGACAGGUGUGAAAUCCCCGGGCUUAACCUGGGAACUGCGCUUGUAACUGGCAAGCUAGAGUGUGGCAGAGGGGGGUGGAAUUCCACGUGUAGCAGUGAAAUGCGUAGAGAUGUGGAGGAACACCGAUGGCGAAGGCAGCCCCCUGGGCUAACACUGACGCUCAUGCACGAAAGCGUGGGGAGCAAACAGGAUUAGAUACCCUGGUAGUCCACGCCCUAAACUAUGUCAACUGGUUGUCGGGGAAGCAAUUCCUAGGUAACGAAGCUAACGCGUGAAGUUGACCGCCUGGGGAGUACGGCCGCAAGGUUAAAACUC